AAUUAGCAUCAAGAAUAUUCAUGGACUGCUUCUGCCACCCGACUGUUUCUUAGGAGCCUUGAAUGAGCUGGAUUAAUAAACUAUCUUUCAUUUGCCAUCCAUCCUUUGGCAUGAAUUUUGCAUUAGGCUGAAUUCAGCUUGGUUCCAGCUGACACCAUUCUCUCUAAGACAAUGUGCUCCACUCCAGGACAUGGGCCGCGCUGACCACACAGGUUUCAUGGGGAGGACGGCAGCCCCCUUGGGCUCCGGCGCAGCCCUGGGGUGGGCUGGGACGCUGCAGCACCAACGCGCUCCAGCUGAUGCUGCUGAUCCACGGACCACACUUUGAGUAACCGAGGCCAGUUCAGAAGUUACCAGAUGAUGCAGUGACUGGCCACUCUUGUGGGUGAUGGGAACACAGGCAUGGCACUGCCAGGGUGCCCAAGGCGCUGCCCCACAGUGCCCUCCUGCCCUGAAAACAGCAUUCAUUUCUCUUCUUAAUAUUUAUUUAUUCAUUUAUUUGGCUGUGCCAGGUCUUAGUUGCUGCAUGUGAACUCUUAGUUGUUACAUGUGGGAUCUAGUUCCCUGACCAGGGAUGGAACCCCAGCCCCCUGCUCUGGGAGCACUCUCGGCCACUGGACCACCAGGGAAGUCCCCGACAGCAUCCAUUUCCGAGCAGGAGUGAGAGUGAGAAGAAGACAGAAGGUGUCUAGAGAACAAUCCCCUUUCCAUCCUGACUUCCACCAUCAGCUCAGUGACUCCAGGCAGGUCUCCCCAGCAAAUGUCCCAGCUGCCACAACAGGCUGGGUACCAACUAAUGGGAAAAAAUAUAUAUGAGAGGGUUUAGAAAAGCAUAAAACUGAGACAUAAUACAAGGUCAAAGAACCACAACCUAGCUCAGAUGUUUAGGGCAAUGAGCAGGUCGUCACACCCAUCAGUGACCCCGAGAAGCCCCCUACACUUGCCAAGGAGCCAUGCUGUAUACACAGCUCGUGAUGUCAUCAAAGUGGUCAUCCCAGAGACAAGAGGCUUUCAAAAGGGAUGCCUGAUUGCCUCCUAAGCCUCCAACUCCUAACUGCUGUGUUUAUUCUUUUAAUCCUUCAGCCCC
ensembl:lncRNA